GAUGAACGCUGGCGGCGUGCCUAAUACAUGCAAGUCGAGCGAACAGACGAGGAGCUUGCUCCUCUGACGUUAGCGGCGGACGGGUGAGUAACACGUGGAUAACCUACCUAUAAGACUGGGAUAACUUCGGGAAACCGGAGCUAAUACCGGAUAAUAUAUUGAACCGCAUGGUUCAAUAGUGAAAGACGGUUUUGCUGUCACUUAUAGAUGGAUCCGCGCCGCAUUAGCUAGUUGGUAAGGUAACGGCUUACCAAGGCAACGAUGCGUAGCCGACCUGAGAGGGUAAUCGGCCCCUCUGGACCUGCACCCCCGCCCAGCCCCCUAGGGGGGGCCGCAGUGGGAAAUCUUCCCCAAUGGGCGAAAGCUUGACGGAGCAACCCCGCGUGAGUGAUGAAGGUCUUCGGUUCGUAAACCUCUUUUUUUAGGGAAGAACAAAUGUGUAAGUAACUAUGCCCCUCUUGCCGGUACCUAAUCAAAAAGCCCCGGCUAACUACGU
rnacentral:rRNA from 1 species